rnacentral:rRNA from 1 species
GAUGAACGCUGGCGGCGGGCCUAACACAUGCAAGUCGAGCGGACAGACGAGGAUCUUGCUUGUCUUACGUGAGCGGCGGGCGGGUGAGUAACACGUAUAUAACCUACCGUGAAGACUGGCAUAACGUCGCGGAAGCUGAUCUAAUACCGGUUAAUAGGUUGAAAGUGAGGGUUCAUUGGUGAAAGACGGAUUUGCUGACACUUAUAGAGGUAUCCGAGCCGCAUUAGCUAGUUGGUAAGGUAACGGCUUACCAAGGCGACGAUGCGUAGCUGACCUGAGAGGGUGAUCGGCCACACUGGAACUGAGACACGGUCCAGACUCCUACGGGAGGCAGCAGUAGGGAAUAUUGCGCAAUGGGCGAAAGCCUGACGGAGCAACGCCGCGUGAGUGAUGAAGGUCUUCGGAUUGUAAAACUCUGUUAUUAGGGAGGAACAAAAGUGAGAGUAACCAUGGCCGUCUUGACGGUACCUACAGAGAAAGCCACGGCUAACUACGUG